rfam:Camelus ferus unplaced genomic scaffold scaffold60782, whole genome shotgun sequence.
GAGAGCAUGGCUCAGUGAUAAAGCACAUGCUUAGCAUGCAUGAGGUCCUGGGUUCAAUCCUCAGCACUUCCA